rnacentral:rRNA from 1 species
CCUACGGGAGGCAGCAGUGGGGAAUAUUGGGCAAUGGGCGCAAGCCUGACCCAGCAACGCCGCGUGAAGGAAGAAGGCUUUCGGGUUGUAAACUUCUUUUGACAGGGAAGAGGAGAAGACGGUACCUGUCGAAUAAGCCACGGCUAACGACGGGCCAGCAGCCGUGGUAAUACGUAGGGGGCAAGCGUUGUCCGGAUUUACUGGGUUUAAAGGGCGUGUAGCCGGGUUGACAAGUCAGAUGUGAAAUCCUGAGGCUUACCCGCAGAACUGCAUUUGAAACUGUUGAUCUUGAGUACUGGAGAGGCAGCCUGAAUUCCUAGUGUAGCGGUGAAAUGCGUAGAUAUUAGGCGGAACACCAGUUGCGAAGGCGGUCUGCUGGACCGCAACUGACGGUGAGGCGCGAAAGCGUGGGGAGCAAACAGGAUUAGAUACCCUGGUAGUC